GAAGGAUUUUCAGAGAAAGCUGCAGAAGCUAUUACACAGAGUGCUACUUCAUGUUUUAGGAGGUUAUAAAAUCUUACAGAAUAGGUAACAAGAUGGAAUAAACAAAUACUUUUAUGCCUGCUGGACCGUGGGGGUGUUUGCCUAAAUUAAACUCUAAACCAGUUCACUGUACCAGGUUACAAACAUGUGGUGAUCUGGACAUAAAAAGGGAGAUUCAGGAGAACCUUGGGGAAUUUUGCAAGUCAAAUUAAUUGGGAAAAAUGGUGAAAUUUGUGGAGCUUGAUAAUGCUGAAGAUUUGUCUGUGCCCACCAUUUGGGGUCCAUAUGAGGAGCCAUGUGAUGGGUGAACCAGAAAUC